rnacentral:lncRNA from 1 species
UGUGACUAUUCGACCUAUUCGAACAUCGGGUACCAUUGCUAGAUGGUCACUUCGAUUAGUACAGAAAUUGAUUCCUGUGCUACCGGCUUAGGUUCGAACCUGCGGGGUCACACACAUAAGAGGUUCCUAUUUGAUUUGAUAGCUGAUGAAGAGUCCUUCAUGUCUGGGAUUCUGUGAUCGAGAAUCAAGAUUCUCUGAUCAUGAAUUCCACACAUUUUGGGUAUCGGGGUCAAGAGUCCCACUAGUUUGGGACUCUUCGAUCAGGGUUACAUAUCGAUGAAUUCUGAUGUCCGAUUAUCCAUCGGAUUUGGAUUCAAUAUUUAUGAGAGAUUUAAUUAGUGAUUUGAUCACUAAUUAACUCA